CAGUAGCCGCGGUAAAACGUAGGGUGCAAGCGUUAAUCGGAAUUACUGGGCGUAAAGCGUGCGCAGGCGGUGAUGUAAGACAGUUGUGAAAUCCCCGGGCUCAACCUGGGAACUGCAUCUGUGACUGCAUCGCUGGAGUGCGGCAGAGGGGGAUGGAAUCCCGCGUGUAGCAGUGAAAUGCGUAGAUAUGCGGAGGAACACCGAUGGCGAAGGCAAUCCCCUGGGCCUGCACUGACGCUCAUGCACGAAAGCGUGGGGAGCAAACAGGAUUAGAUACCCCUGUAGUCCCUGUCUCUUAUAC
rnacentral:rRNA from 1 species